UGGGGGGGGGGGGGGUCGAAAGCGAGAGAAAGAGAGCAAGGGAAAAUAGGCUGGGUGAAAACCUCACAGUUUUCCUCGGUCUCCGCUUUCUCUCGCCUUCGCCUUCCCCCCCCCCCUAGUUUCUCACA